AACUGACUCUCUUCUCUACAUACACAUCUCAGCUGUAGCCUGGUGCUUGCACCGGGUGGAUGAGUGGCGAACGGGUGAGUAACACGUGAGUAACCUGCCCCUGACUUCGGGAUAAGCCCGGGAAACUGGGUCUAAUACCGGAUACGACUGCCGGACGCAUGUCUGGUGGUGGAAAGUUUUUUCGGUUGGGGAUGGGCUCGCGGCCUAUCAGUUUGUUGGUGAGGUAAUGGCUCACCAAGACGACGACGGGUAGCCGGCCUGAGAGGGCGACCGGCCACACUGGGACUGAGACACGGCCCAGACUCCUACGGGAGGCAGCAGUGGGGAAUAUUGCACAAUGGGGGAAACCCUGAUGCAGCGACGCAGCGUGCGGGAUGACGGCCUUCGGGUUGUAAACCGCUUUCAGCAGGGAAGAAGCGCAAGUGACGGUACCUGCAGAAGAAGUACCGGCUAACUACGUGCCAGCAGCCGCGGUAAUACGUAGGGUACGAGCGUUGUCCGGAAUUAUUGGGCGUAAAGAGCUCGUAGGUGGUUGGUCACGUCUGCUGUGGAAACGCAACGCUUAACGUUGCGCGUGCAGUGGGUACGGGCUGACUAGAGUGCAGUAGGGGAGUCUGGAAUUCCUGGUGUAGCGGUGAAAUGCGCAGAUAUCAGGAGGAACACCGGUGGCGAAGGCGGGACUCUGGGCUGUAACUGACACUGAGGAGCGAAAGCAUGGGGAGCGAACAGGAUUAGAUACCCUGGUAGUCCAUGCCGUAAACGUUGGGCACUAGGUGUGGGGGGCAUUCCACGUUCUCCGCGCCG
rnacentral:rRNA from 1 species